rnacentral:rRNA from 1 species
GACGAACGCUGGCGGCGUGCUUAACACAUGCAAGUCGAACGGAAAGGCCCUGCUUUUGUGGGGUGCUCGAGUGGCGAACGGGUGAGUAACACGUGAGUAACCUGCCCUUGACUUUGGGAUAACUUCAGGAAACUGGGGCUAAUACCGGAUAGGAGCUCCUGCUGCAUGGUGGGGGUUGGAAAGUUUCGGCGGUUGGGGAUGGACUCGCGGCUUAUCAGCUUGUUGGUGGGGUAGCGGCUUACCAAGGCUUUGACGGGUAGCCGGCCUGAGAGGGUGACCGGCCACAUUGGGACUGAGAUACGGAGCAGACUCCUACGGGAGGCAGCAGUGGGGAAUAUUGCACAAUGGGCGGAAGCCUGAUGCAGCAACGCCGCGUGCGGGAUGACGGCCUUCGGGUUGUAAACCGCUUUCGCCUGUGACGAAGCGUGAGUGACGGUAAUGGGUAAAGAAGCACCGGCUAACUACGUG